CGCAAGAUUAAAACUCAAAUGAAUUGACGGGGGCCCGCACAAGCGGUGGAGCAUGUGGUUUAAUUCGAUGCAACGCGAAGAACCUUACCUACUCUUGACAUCCAGAGAACUUUCCAGAGAUGGAUUGGUGCCUUCGGGAACUCUGAGACAGGUGCUGCAUGGCUGUCGUCAGCUCGUGUUGUGAAAUGUUGGGUUAAGUCCCGCAACGAGCGCAACCCUUAUCCUUGUUUGCCAGCGAGUAAUGUCGGGAACUCCAGGGAGACUGCCGGUGAUAAACCGGAGGAAGGUGGGGACGACGUCAAGUCAUCAUGGCCCUUACGAGUAGGGCUACACACGUGCUACAAUGGCGCAUACAGAGGGCGGCCAACUUGCGAAAGUGAGCGAAUCCCAAAAAGUGCGUCGUAGUCCGGAUUGGAGUCUGCAACUCGACUCCAUGAAGUCGGAAUCGCUAGUAAUCGUGGAUCAGAAUGCCACGGUGAAUACGUUCCCGGGCCUUGUACACACCGCCCGUCACACCAUGGGAGUGGGCUGCAAAAGAAGUAGGUAGUUUAACCUUCGGGGGGACGCUUA
rnacentral:rRNA from 1 species